UACGUAGGUGGCAGGCGUUGUCCGGAUUUAUUGGGUUUAAAGGGUGCGUAGGCGGUUCCAUAAGUCAGUGGUGAAAUACAAUAGCUUAACUAUUGAGGUGCCAUUGAUACUGCGGAACUUGAGUACAGACGAGGUAGGCGGAAUUGACGGUGUAGCGGUGAAAUGCUUAGAUAUCGUCAAGAACACCGAUAGCGAAGGCAGCUUACUAGACUGUAACUGACGCUGAGGCACGAAAGUGUGGGGAUCAAACAGG
rnacentral:rRNA from 1 species